UACGGGGGGGGCAAGCGUUGUUCGGAAUUACUGGGCGUAAAGGGCUCGUAGGCGGCCAACUAAGUCGGACGUGAAAUCCCUCGGCUUAACCGGGGAACUGCGUCCGAUACUGGAUGGCUUGAGUUCGGGAGAGGGAUGCGGAAUUCCAGGUGUAGCGGUGAAAUGCGUAGAUAUCGUAAGGAAGACCAGUGGCGAAGGCGGGUCUCUGGACAGUUCCUGACGCUGAUGCACGAAGGCCAGGGGAGCAAACGGG
rnacentral:rRNA from 1 species